rnacentral:lncRNA from 1 species
GUUGGAUAUAUUUUCCUGUAAAUACGGCAGUGAAGUUAGUUUUAGGUUGGAUAUAUUUUCCUGUAAAUAUGGCGGUGAAGUUAGUUUUAGGUUGGAUAUAUUUUCCUGUAAAUACGGCGGUGAAGUUAGUUUCAGGUUGGAUAUAUUUUCCUGUAAAUACGGCGGUGAAGUUAGUUUUAGGUUGGAUAUAUUUUCCUGUAAAUAUGGCGGUGAAGUUAGUUUUAGGUUGGAUAUAUUUUCCUGUAAAUACGGCGGUGAAGUUAGUUUCAGGUUGGAUAUAUUUUCCUGUAAAUACGGCGGUGAAGUUAGUUUUAGGUUGGAUAUAUUUUCCUGUAAAUAUGGCGGUGAAGUUAGUUUUAGGUUGGAUAUAUUUUCCUGUAAAUACGGCGGUGAAGUUAGUUUCAGGUUGGAUAUAUUUUCCUGUAAAUACGGCGGUGAAGUUAGUUUCAGGUUGGAUAUAUUUUCCUGUAAAUACGGCGGUGAAGUUAGUUUCAGGUUGGAUAUAUUUUCCUGUAAAUACGGCGGUGAAGUUAGUUUUAGGUUGGAUAUAUUUUCCUGUAAAUACGGCGGUGAAGUUAGUUUCAGGUUGGAUAUAUUUUCCUGUAAAUACGGCGGUGAAGUUAGUUUUAGGUUGGAUAUAUUUUCCUGUAAAUACGGCGGUGAAGUUAGUUUCAGGUUGGAUAUAUUUUCCUGUAAAUAUGGCGGUGAAGUUAGUUUUAGGUUGGAUAUAUUCUCCUGUAAAUACGGCGGUGAAGUUAGUUUCAGGUUGGAUAUCUGACGGACAUUCUCUGAGGAUCUACCGGUGUCUUCUCACUCUCCAUAACCAGGAAUAACAACAGCAGCGCGGUUAAAUCUACUCGACACCCUCACUGUCAACGUCGGUGUUGAAUAAGGGACCGUCAAUAAAUUACCGGUUGAUGUUCUCAGAAAAGGCUGUUUUCCUUC